GAUGAACGCUGGCGGCGUGCCUAAUACAUGCAAGUCGAGCGAAGCGGGGACGGGUGAGUAACACGUGGUAAACCUCCUAUACGACCUGGACAACUUCGGGAAACAGGAGCUAAACCGGCUACUUAUAGAUGGAUCCUCGCUGCAUUAGCUAGUUGGUAAGGUAACGGCUUACCAAGGCAACGAUGCAUAGCCGACCUGAGAGGGUGAUCGGCCACACUGGAACUGAGACACGGGCCAGACUCCUACGGGAGGCAGCAGUAGGGAAUCUUCCGCAAUGGGCGAAAGCCUGACCGAGCAACGCCGCGUGAGUGAUGAAGGUCUUCGGAUCGUAAAACUCUGUUAUUAGGGAAGCGGUACCUAAUCAGAAAGCCACGGCUAACUACGUGCCAGCAGCCGCGGUAAUAC
rnacentral:rRNA from 1 species